UCCGACCUCAGAUCGGACGAGAUUACCCGCUGAAUUUAAGCAUAUAACUAAGCGGAGGAAAAGAAACUAACAAGGAUUCCCCCAGUAACGGCGAGUGAAGCGGGAAUAGCCCAGCACCGAAUCCCUCAGUGUCAUGCUGACGGGAACUGUGGUGUGUGGGACGCCACCAGUCGCAUCAGAGGGCGCCGAAGUCCUCCUGAUCGGGGCUUCACCCAGAGCGGGUGUAAGGCCUUUGCGGGUGCCUCUCUGUGCGGCCCGAGCGUCUCAGGAGUCGGGUUGUUUGGGAAUGCAGCCCAAAGCGGGUGGUAAACUCCA
rnacentral:rRNA from 1 species